AGCACCAUAUAUUAUGUGCAAAUUACUAUAUAAUCAAGAUAAAAAAUAAAAAAGAGAAUGUAAACUGGAAUAUGAGAGAAGUCUAACACUAACCUCUAUCAAGGGAUCCACCUGAGGCCUUCUUUUUUACAGGUUCUGGUGGGGUCUCUGUAGACGAAAAGAAAAAUGGUAAAGAAAGGCAAUGAUCUCAAAGGUAAAAUUGCAUCAAUGUUAAAGAUUGCAGGUUGGACUUUAUUAUCAGAUUCUAAUUAAGAUGAGCACUUUCUCAUUAUGUUCUUUAAAUUAAAGAAAGCCAGCUGGAAAAAGAAACAAAUUUGGAAUAACUUUUCCU
rnacentral:lncRNA from 1 species